rnacentral:rRNA from 1 species
UACGUAGGGUGCGAGCGUUGUCCGGAUUUAUUGGGCGUAAAGAGCUCGUAGGCGGUUUGUCGCGUCGGCCGUGAAAUCUCCACGCUUAACGUGGAGCGUGCGGUCGAUACGGGCAGACUUGAGUUCGGUAGGGGAGACUGGAAUUCCUGGUGUAGCGGUGAAAUGCGCAGAUAUCAGGAGGAACACCGGUGGCGAAGGCGGGUCUCUGGGCCGAUACUGACGCUGGAGGAGCGAAAGCCGUGGGGAGCGAACAGGA